UGAAGAGUUUGAUCAUGGCUCAGAUUGAACGCUGGCGGCAGGCCUAACACAUGCAAGUCGAACGGUAACAGGAAGCAGCUUGCUGCUUUGCUGACGAGUGGCGGACGGGUGAGUAAUGUCUGGGAAACUGCCUGAUGGAGGGGGAUAACUACUGGAAACGGUGGCUAAUACCGCAUAACGUCGCAAGACCAAAGAGGGGGACCUUCGGGCCUCUUGCCAUCAGAUGUGCCCAGAUGGGAUUAGCUUGUUGGUGAGGUAACGGCUCACCAAGGCGACGAUCCCUAGCUGGUCUGAGAGGAUGACCAGCCACACUGGAACUGAGACACGGUCCAGACUCCUACGGGAGGCAGCAGUGGGGAAUAUUGCACAAUGGGCGCAAGCCUGAUGCAGCCAUGCCGCGUGUAUGAAGAAGGCCUUCGGGUUGUAAAGUACUUUCAGCGGGGAGGAAGGUGUUGUGGUUAAUAACCGCAGCAAUUGACGUUACCCGCAGAAGAAGCACCGGCUAACUCCGUGCCAGCAGCCGCGGUAAUACGGAGGGUGCAAGCGUUAAUCGGAAUUACUGGGCGUAAAGCGCACGCAGGCGGUCUGUCAAGUCGGAUGUGAAAUCCCCGGGCUCAACCUGGGAACUGCAUUCGAAACUGGCAGGCUUGAGUCUUGUAGAGGGGGGUAGAAUUCCAGGUGUAGCGGUGAAAUGCGUAGAGAUCUGGAGGAAUACCGGUGGCGAAGGCGGCCCCCUGGACAAAGACUGACGCUCAGGUGCGAAAGCGUGGGGAGCAAACAGGAUUAGAUACCCUGGUAGUCCACGCCGUAAACGAUGUCUACUUGGAGGUUGUGCCCUUGAGGCGUGGCUUCCGGAGCUAACGCGUUAAGUAGACCGCCUGGGGAGUACGGCCGCAAGGUUAAAACUCAAAUGAAUUGACGGGGGCCCGCACAAGCGGUGGAGCAUGUGGUUUAAUUCGAUGCAACGCGAAGAACCUUACCUGGUCUUGACAUCCACAGAACUUUCCAGAGAUGGAUUGGUGCCUUCGGGAACUGUGAGACAGGUGCUGCAUGGCUGUCGUCAGCUCGUGUUGUGAAAUGUUGGGUUAAGUCCCGCAACGAGCGCAACCCUUAUCCUUUGUUGCCAGCGGUCCGGCCGGGAACUCAAAGGAGACUGCCAGUGAUAAACUGGAGGAAGGUGGGGAUGACGUCAAGUCAUCAUGGCCCUUACGACCAGGGCUACACACGUGCUACAAUGGCGCAUACAAAGAGAAGCGACCUCGCGAGAGCAAGCGGACCUCAUAAAGUGCGUCGUAGUCCGGAUUGGAGUCUGCAACUCGACUCCAUGAAGUCGGAAUCGCUAGUAAUCGUGGAUCAGAAUGCCACGGUGAAUACGUUCCCGGGCCUUGUACACACCGCCCGUCACACCAUGGGAGUGGGUUGCAAAAGAAGUAGGUAGCUUAACCUUCGGGAGGGCGCUUACCACUUUGUGAUUCAUGACUGGGGUGAAGUCGUAACAAGGUAACCGUAGGGGAACCUGCGGUUGGA
rnacentral:rRNA from 14 species